rnacentral:misc_RNA from 1 species
UCCGGUUUGUCACCGGCGGUUUCUUCAGAGUGCCUAACUUAAUAUUGGCAACAGAAGAUAGGGGUUGCGCUCGUUGCGGGACUUAACCCAACAUCUCACAACACGAGCUGACGACGACCAUGCAACACCUGUGAAUCUGCCCUUGCGGGAAGGGGUAUCUCUACCCCAGUCAAAUCCAUGUCAAACCCAGGUAAGGUUUCUCGCGUAUCGUCGAAUUAAACCACAUGCUCCACCGCUUGUGCGGGCCCCCGUCAAUUUCUUUGAGUUUCACCCUUGCGAGCAUACUCCCCAGGCGGUAUACUUAAUGCGUUAGCGACGUCACUGAUGGCGUUGAAACCACCAACAACUAGUAUACAACGUUUACGGUGCGGACUAC